rnacentral:tRNA from 1 species
AGAAACUUAGGUUACACUUAAACCAAGAGCCUUCAAAGCCCUAAAGAAGAGAUCACCACCUCUUAGUUUCUG